UCGAGAAUUUUUCUCAAUGGGGGAAACCCUGAAGGAGCGACGCCGCGUGGAGGAUGAAGGUCUUCGGAUUGUAAACUCCUGUCAUUGGUGAACAAGGCCCUCGGUUAACUGCCGUUGGGUUUGAUAGUAGCCGAAGAGGAAGAGACGGCUAACUCUGUGCCAGCAGCCGCGGUAAUACAGAGGUCUCAAGCGUUGUUCGGAUUCAUUGGGCGUAAAGGGUGCGUAGGUGGCGACGCAAGUCUGGUGUGAAAUCCCGGGGCUCAACCCCGGAACUGCACUGGAUACUGCGUUGCUUGAGCACUGGAGAGGGAACUGGAAUUUACGGUGUAGCAGUGAAAUGCGUAGAUAUCGUAAGGAAGACCAGUGGCGAAGGCGAGUUCCUGGACAGUUGCUGACACUGAGGCACGAAGGCCAGGGGAGCAAAC
rnacentral:rRNA from 1 species